GACGUAGGAUGCGAGCGUUGUCCGGAAUUAUUGGGCGUAAAGCGUACGUAGGCGGUCAUCUAAGUCUGGGGUUAAAGACCAAGGCUCAACCUUGGGAGUGCCCUGGAUACUGGGUGACUGGAGGACGGCAGAGGAAAGUGGAAUUCCCAGUGUAGCGGUGAAAUGCGUAGAUAUUGGGAGGAACACCAGUGGCGAAAGCGACUUUCUGGGCCGUUCCUGACGCUGAGGUACGAAAGCCAGGGGAGCAAACGGG
rnacentral:rRNA from 2 species